rnacentral:rRNA from 1 species
UACGUAGGGUGCAAGCGUUAAUCGGAAUUACUGGGCGUAAAGCGUGCCGCAGGCGGCUUUGCAAGACAGAUGUGAAAUCCCCGGGCUUAACCUGGGAACUGCAUUUGUGACUGCAUGGCUGGAGUGCGGCAGAGGGGGAUGGAAUUCCGCGUGUAGCAGUGAAAUGCGUAGAUAUCAGGAGGAACACCGAGUGGACGGAAGGCAGGUCGUCUGGGACUGCACUGAC